GAAAUGCGAUAAGUAAUGUGAAUUGCAGAAUUCAGUGAAUCAUCGAAUCUUUGAACGCACAUUGCGCCCCUUGGUAUUCCGAGGGGCAUGCCUGUUCGAGCGUCAUUAUAACCACUCAAGCCUAGCUUGGUAUUGGGGUUCGCUGUCCUGCGGCCCUUAAAAUCAGUGGCGGUGCUGCCUAGCUCUAAGCGUAGUAAUUUCCUCGCUAUAGGGUCUGGGUGGUCACUUGCCAAAACCCUCCACUUCUUACGGUUGACCUCGGAUCAGGUAGGGAUACCCGCUGAACUUAA
rnacentral:misc_RNA from 1 species